GCUCUCAUCAUCUGUCGCAACACUAACUGUCAGCCCCCUGCGAGGACAUGCUAAUCCUGGACUUCGUCAUCAGCCCUGCUGACGGAGAAGCUCAACCCCGUGUCUCAAUUUUCAUUUAAGGUCACCAAAGCUUGACCAGACAAUCAAAAGUAGCAGCAAGAACGUCAAUAAAUAUUGACCGGAGAGAGUAAUCAAAACAUUUGAAAUCAGAUUGUUAUUCAUUCUUUACUCCCACCUUGCUUCAAGAAUUCUAUCUGGAAAUGAUAGUAAAAGAAAGGAUUAUACAAUGAAUUUUGAUCAGGUAGCAAAGAAUCUCUUUUCAGAGCUGAAAGUCUGAAGUGUCCAUCAACAUACAUACCUCACCUGUACCAUCAAUUAUUCCAUUUUCUUAUCUUAGUGGCACGCAAAGGUACCAUAAAAUUAUUGUACUUUUGUGUUUUCUUCUAUUACGUUUGUGGUUGCCUAUGCAUGCCAUAACUUGUUUUUGUUGUGUAAGUAUUUAAAUUAAUUCGGCAAAUCUUCCCUUC